rnacentral:rRNA from 1 species
UGCCAGCAGCCGCGGUAAUACGGAGGGUGCAAGCGUUGUUCGGAAUUACUGGGCGUAAAGCGCGCGUAGGCGGCUUUUUAAGUCAGAUGUGAAAGUCCACGGCUCAACCGUGGAAGUGCAUUUGAAACUGGGAGGCUUGAGUAUUGGAGGGGGUGGUGGAAUUCCCGGUGUAGAGGUGAAAUUCGUAGAUAUCGGGAGGAAUACCGGUGGCGAAGGCGACACCCGGCCAAAUACUGACGCUGAGGUGCCAAAGCGCGGGGAUCAAACCGGAUUAGAUA